CUCAAUUACAACAAGCGAAGAAAAAAAAGAGACCUUGGAUCCCGUAUGAAACAGAUGAAACGGAAACAUGCAUUGAUUGAUUGAUUGAUUGGUUGGUUGGUUAAACACGUUGGUUGGUUAAACACGUUGAUUAAACAUGUUGGUUGGUUAAACACGUUGAUUGGUUUAACACCUUGAUAGGCUCAAUUAAAACAAGCGGAAAAAAAACUUGGAUCCCGUAUGAAAAACAUGAAACAUAAACAUGCAUUGAUUGAUUGAUUGAUUGGUUGGUUGGUUAAACACAUUGGUUGGUUAGUUAAUCACGUUGGUUAAACAUGUU
rnacentral:lncRNA from 1 species